UAAGGAAUAUUGGACAAUGGUCGCAAGACUGAUCCAGCCAUGCCGCGUGCAGGAAGACGGCCCUAUGGGUUGUAAACUGCUUUUGUACCAGAGAAAACCUAUCUACGUGUAGAUAGCUGAUAGUAUGGUAAGAAUAAGCAUCGGCUAACUUCGUGCCAGCAGCCGCGGUAAGACGAAGGAUGCAAGCGUUAUCCGGAUUCACUGGGUUUAAAGGGUGCGUAGGCGGAUAUGUAAGUCAGUGGUGAAAUCAACGGGCUCAACCUGUUAACUGCCAUUGAUACUGUGGAGCUUGAAUAUGAGAGAGGUAGGCGGAAUGUUGCAUGUAGCGGUGAAAUGCUUAGAUAUGCUACGGAACACCGAUUGCGAAGGCAGCUUACUAUUUCGUAAUUGACGCUGAGGCACGAAAGCGUGGGUAGCGAACA
rnacentral:rRNA from 1 species